AAAUUGAAGAGUUUGAUCAUGGCUCAGAUUGAACGCUGGCGGCAGGCCUAACACAUGCAAGUCGAACGGUAGCACAGAGAGCUUGCUCUCGGGUGACGAGUGGCGGACGGGUGAGUAAUGUCUGGGAAACUGCCUGAUGGAGGGGGAUAACUACUGGAAACGGUGGCUAAUACCGCAUAACGUCGCAAGACCAAAGAGGGGGACCUUCGGGCCUCUUGCCAUCAGAUGUGCCCAGAUGGGAUUAGCUUGUUGGUGAGGUAACGGCUCACCAAGGCGACGAUCCCU
rnacentral:rRNA from 1 species